AUUGAACGCUGGCGGUAGGCCUAACACAUGCAAGUCGAACGCGAAAGUCCUUCGGAUGAGUAGAGUGGCGGACGGGUGAGUAACGCGUAGGAAUCUAUCCUGUAGUGGGGGAGUAAUGUUUCGUAAAGGAACGCUAAUACCGCAUACGCCCCAACGGGGGAAAGGCGGGGGAGUCUUCGGACCUCGUGCUAUAGGAGGAGCCUGCGUCGGAUUAGCUAGUUGGUAGGGUAAAGGCCUACCAAGGCCACGAUCGGUAGCUGGUCUGAGAGGAUGAUCAGCCACACUGGGACUGAGACACGGCCCAGACUCCUACGGGAGGCAGCAGUGGGGAAUAUUGGACAAUGGGCGCAAGCCUGAUCCAGCAAUGCCGCGUGUGUGAAGAAGGCCUGCGGGUUGUAAAGCACUUUCAGUGGGAAGAACAGAUUCGGGUCGAAUACCCGGACGCCUCGACGUUACCCACAGAAGAAGACACCGG
rnacentral:rRNA from 1 species